UUAUAAUUUCUGUUUUAAAAAUAGAUCGCAGUUUGCCUUAUGUAUUUACAAUUUUCAUUGACGUUUCUUGUUUUGCGUUAAAUUAUUUUCCUCGUUAUUAACGUUCCUUGUCGUUGUUAUCUGUAUAUGUGCGAUAAAGGCUGUUAGUCAUAAAUUUUACGAAAAGCUCUAAAUGUUUUAUAUUAGAAGGCGCAGAUUUGUUCCUCGUUUCUUUGCAAAAGACGCUGAAGGUACCUGAAACGAGCUCCGAACCGAAUCAACAGUAUCAUCAGCAUCUAUUUUCUCAUCUUGGGUGUUCUGUGACUCUUGGGAUUCCUGGAAUAAAGAAAACAUAUAUAUACCUGCUACACAACCGGAGUGGAAAGAAAUAGAACAUGGUUUUGCAACUCGAUGGAAUUUUCCUGGAUGUGUAGGAGCCAUAGACGGCAAGCAUGUAAAUAUCAAAUGGCCAAGCAACAGUGACUCAGCUUUUUAUAAUUAUAAAGGCUAUUUUAGUACGAUAAUGUUAGCAUUGGUAGACAGCAAUUACUGUUUUAUAUAUUUAGAAGUGGGCGCAGCAGGAACAGAAUCAGAUGAAGAGAUAUUUUCACGAUCUGCUUUAAAAACGGAAAUUGAAGGCAACACUCUCAAUAUGCCAUCGAAUUAUGUUAUAGUGGCAGAUGAUGCGUUCCCUUUAAAAACUUAUCUUUUGAAGCCAUACUCACGAGCUACUCAACUUUGUUAUGAAAUUUUUUUUUAAUUACAGUCUUAGUAGAGCAAGACGCAUAGUAGAGAAUGUUUUCGGAACAUUAGUUUCCAAAUUUAGAGUCUUUGAGAAAUCCAUUUCACUCUCCUGAAAAGGUGGUCAAAUUGAUUAUGUCACUACACAACUGGUUACGCAAGAUUUCUUCUUAUUAUUUAACUGCAAGACUAACAGAUUCGGAAAAUUUAGAGACAGGGGAAAUGGUAUCAGGUACAUGACGAGAAAUUAAAAGAGAUGGAUUAGGUAGCAUCACAAAUAUGGGAAGUCAAAUAACUAUUCAAGGGAAGCUGAGGCAGUAAGAAAUAUUGCAUGGCAAAACUAAAGGAUCUAAUAUUUUACACGUUCCGUAUUACUUUUAAAUAUGCUUAAUAAAUGUUUUACUUACCAAACAGU